UCACGUAUCCACGUACAAACCACUGUGAACUGUUCUCCCUUUCGGAGGUGCUGGGUUUGGCUAGAUCAAUAUCGCUUCGCUGUCGUGAUAGAAGUGUGGUCUAGCCGUUCCUGAACUCGCUUCAGGACGCCUGUAUCUUUGAAAGCGGUUAUUAUCACGCAACCUUAACCCUUAUUAACCCCUUUAACCUUUAUGAACUGAAAUUAAGCUUGAUGCGAAGGAGUGCCUCGGCAUUCUUGAAGUCAAGUCUUUAUUACGAAACUAAGAA
rnacentral:misc_RNA from 1 species